rnacentral:rRNA from 1 species
GAUGAACGCUGGCGGCGUGCCUAAUACAUGCAAGUCGAGCGAACAGACGAGGAGCUUGCUCCUCUGACGUUAGCGGCGGACGGGUGAGUAACACGUGGAUAACCUACCUAUAAGACUGGGAUAACUUCGGGAAACCGGAGCUAAUACCGGAUAAUAUAUUGAACCGCAUGGUUCAAUAGUGAAAGACGGUUUUGCUGUCACUUAUAGAUGGAUCCGCGCCGCAUUAGCUAGUUGGUAAGGUAACGGCUUACCAAGGCGACGAUGCGUAGUCGACCUGAGAGGGUGAUCGGCCACACUGGAACUGAGACACGGUCCAGACUCCUACGGGAGGCAGCAGUAGGGAAUCUUCCGCAAUGGGCGAAAGCUUGACGGAGCAACGCCGCGUGAGUGAUGAAGGUCUUCGGAUCGUAAAACUCUGUUAUUAGGGAAGAACAAAUGUGUAAGUAACUAUGCACGUCUUGACGGUACCUAAUCAGAAAGCCACGGCUAACUACGUG